GAUGAAGAACGCAGCGAAAUGCGAUAAGUAAUGUGAAUUGCAGAAUUCAGUGAAUCAUCGAAUCUUUGAACGCACAUUGCGCCCGCUAGUAUUCUGGCGGGCAUGCCUGUUCGAGCGUCAUUUCAACCAUCAAGCCCCAGGCUUGUGUUGGGGACCUGCGGCUGCCGCAGGCCCUGAAAACCAGUGGCGGGCUCGCUGUCACACCGGGCGUAGUAGAUUUUAUCUCGCUCAGGGCGUGCUGCGGGUUCCGGCCGUUAAAAAGCCUUUUUUACCCAAGGUUGACCUCGGAUCAGGUAGGAAGACCCGCUGAACUUAAGCAUAUCAAAAGCGGAGGA
rnacentral:misc_RNA from 1 species